AAGACCUUGCACUUUUGGAGCGGCCGAUGUCUGAUUAGCUAGUUGGUGGGGUAAUGGCCUACCAAAGCUUCGAUCAGUAGCUGGUCUGAGAGGACGGCCAGCCACACUGGGACUGAGACACGGCCCAGACUCCUACGGGAGGCAGCAGUGGGGAAUUUUGGACAAUGGGCGCAAGCCUGAUCCAGCCAUGCCGCGUGAGUGAAGAAGGCCUUCGGGUUGUAAAGCUCUUUCAGCCGGGAGGAAAAGGUUGCGACUAAUAAUCGCAAUCCAUGACGGUACCGAAAGAAGAAGCACCGGCUAACUACGUGCCAGCAGCCGCGGUAAUACGUAGGGUGCGAGCGUUAAUCGGAAUUACUGGGCGUAAAGGGUGCGCAGGCGGUUUUGUAAGUCAGAUGUGAAAUCCCCGGGCUUAACCUGGGAACU
rnacentral:rRNA from 1 species